CUUUCAACAACGGAUCUCUUGGCUCUGGCAUCGAUGAAGAACGCAGCGAAAUGCGAUACGUAAUGUGAAUUGCAGAAUUCAGCGAACCAUCGAAUCUUUGAACGCACAUUGCGCCCGCCAGUAUUCUGGCGGGCAUGCCUGUCCGAGCGUCAUUUCCC
rnacentral:rRNA from 1 species